rnacentral:rRNA from 1 species
GACGAACGCUGGCGGCGUGCUUAACACAUGCAAGUCGAACGGAAAGGCCCCUUUGGGGGUACUCGAGUGGCGAACGGGUGAGUAACACGUGCGUAACCUGCCCUUGACUUCGGGAUAACUUCAGGAAACUGGGGCUAAUACCGGAUAGGAAUCCUUGCUGCAUGGUGGGGGUUGGAAAGCUUCGGCGGUUUUGGAUGGACUCGCGGCUUAUCAGCUUGUUGGUGGGGUAGUGGCUUACCAAGGCUUUGACGGGUAGCCGGCCUGGGAGGGCGACCGGCCACAUUGGGACUGGGAUACGGCCCAGACUCCUACGGGAGGCAGCAGUGGGGAAUAUUGCACAAUGGGCGGAAGCCUGAUGCAGCAACGCCGCGUGCGGGAUGACGGCCUUCGGGUUGGAAACCGCUUUCAGCAGGGGCGAAGCUUGUGGUGACGGUACCUGCAGAAGAAGCACCGGCUAACUACGUG